rnacentral:rRNA from 1 species
UACGGAGGGUGCGAGCGUUGUCCGGAAUCACUGGGCGUAAAGGGCGCGUAGGUGGCGCGGGCAGUCAACGGUGAAAGUUCGGGGCUCAACCCUGAAUCGGCCGUCGAUACUCCCGGGCUUGAGCACUGUAGAGGCUAAUGGAAUUCCGGGUGUAGCGGUGGAAUGCGUAGAGAUCCGGAAGAACACCGGUGGCGAAGGCGGCCCGCUGGGCAGUGGCUGACGCUGAGGCACGAAAGCGUGGGGAGCAAACAGG